CUUCUGUAUUUUAGGGAUGCACAGAAAUCACGGAUACAGUCCUGAUCUUCAUUGGUGCCUCUGGGUGUGCACUGAAAAGAAUGCAAGUAGAGUCUACCAAUAUGGCUGAUGACUGGUUGAUGAUCCAGAGAUGUUUCUUUUUAUGUGUUGGCAUGAACUAAUGGACCAUGGCUGUUGUCUGAGUGAAGCUGAGGAGGGCAGUGAUAGAGCAGCCUUGGUGGGGUCAAUCUUCCACAGCAGACACCAGGACACUGAACUCUGAACUCUUCAAAGGCCUACUUCAUAGCUAAACUGUGUCUUCUGGUAAGAUUUAGGUAUUUUU
rnacentral:lncRNA from 1 species